GGCGAAAGAGCGAUCGAGUGGAGCGGGGAGAUCUAUGGACCAGAGAGUCGCUGCUUCUUCUCUGACCUGCACAGAGAGAACAUCUCUCUUUCUCCAAGCGGUUCAGCGGAGGGUCGGUGCUACAGACACCGCUGUACUGGGCUCAACCAGUACCAGGUCCAGGUGUUUGACUCUCACUGGAUGGACUGUCCAGCCGGCACCUCCAUACAGGUGUUGGGGUACACCGGGUCCAUCCUCUGUCCUCAUGAGACACUAUGUCACCAUUCACAUGUCACCGCUCCCACAAGCUAUGAGGCUCUUCCACCUCCUGGUCCUCCCACCAGUGGUGGCUCCUCCUCUCAGAGAGGGGGGUCUUUGGCCCCUGGGUUUUACUCCGAUUCCCCCCCGACUUUCACGGUGCCAGAGAGCAGCGUCGAACUCCCUCUAAUCACAGCCCUGGGGGGUGCGGCAGCGCUGUGUCUCACAGGCGCUCUAACGGCUGUUCUGUACCUGGCCUGUAGGGGGCACUACGCCCUCGGAGUCAGGGUGCAUGCUGUCACGGACAUGGAGACGGCUUGAGCGCUGUCCCUGCUGUCCAUUCAUAAUCCAUCAUAUCUCUGCACAAAUAAAGUUCUAGUAAAAUGUCA
rnacentral:lncRNA from 1 species